CCCAGGGUAGCCUAGUGGACAUGGCAUCUGCCCGGUAAUCGGAACACUGAGGUUCGAUUCCCAUCCCUGGAC
rnacentral:tRNA from 1 species